UACGUAGGGGGCUAGCGUUGUCCGGAAUCACUGGGCGUAAAGGGCGCGUAGGCGGGGAGGUAAGUCGGGUGUGAAAUCCCUCGGCCCAACCGAGGAACUGCGCCCGAGACUGCUUCUCUUGAGUCCCGGAGAGGAAGAUGGAAUUCCCGGUGUAGCGGUGAAAUGUGUAGAGAUCGGGAGGAACACCGGUGGCGAAGGCGGUCUUCUGGACGGUGACUGACGCUGAGGCGCGAAAGCGUGGGGAGCAAACGGG
rnacentral:rRNA from 1 species